rnacentral:lncRNA from 15 species
AUGAUGGGAAGCUGCAGGGGCAUGUCCUCCUCUCUCCAGAGAUCUGGAAAUGUCAGCUGGUGUGUGGACUCAGAGUCACCAACAUCUGUAGCUACAGCUCUGACAGCAACAGCCACUCCAGAAGAAUUUUUUCCCCAAAAGCACCAGUCGACUGGUUCAGGACAAAUCCCACUUCUCCUUCUGUCACCAGCAGAAAUCACAAAGAGGACACAUCGGGUGGCUGUCACACAAUCCCAUCACUCCCAUUGGAACCAACACUCCAGCUCUGCUUUGUACACCAUUGACAAACCUCCUAAUAGUCCUACCGAGGAGGGUGAGGCUGGACGAAAGGGGAAUAUCAGACCUCCAAAGGCUGACAACGGGAGCAAAGAGGACCAGUCUCUCUUACAUCCAGAGGACCAAGGAUUCCUUCUUCCCAGGAGCAGUCCAGUCAUCUCCAGACGCCACAGGCCCCUAUCAUGGCAUGGAGGGGGCACUGACACAUCAGCUCCGUCAAGCAUCCCAUCUCCUCUGGAUCAGCACUGUUGCCUGGCAGUCACCAGUGUGGAGGAUCUGGGAUCCAACCCAGAUCACCACUCAGCCCAGGUCCAGGAAGACAAGAAGUCAUGCUCUGUCUCUUCAAGUCUGUACCGCCUAUUAAUUGCUGGACUCCAGCUUCCCAUCAGUGGACAGCAGGGAUUGGCAGAGGCGCACAGACGGCAGAGCCUAACCAGCUGUCAUACCUCUCACUCAUCAGGUAGAAAAUGUCUAAUUAUUACUAGUGUAUUUAAAUGGUAAAUGUUAAAUGGACCUGUACUUGUAUAGAGCCUCUAGUCUUCUGACCACUCAAAGCGCUUUUAUACUAUGUGCCACAUUUGCCCUUUCACACACAUUCACACAGCGAUGACAAAGCCCAUCAAACAGAAACUAACACAUUCAUACACAUUCACACACCGAUGCACAGCAUCGGGAGCAAUUCACAAAACAAUUUACUGUGUCUAUAAGAACAGAACAGCAAGGUGGUGCUGCUACAGUAACCCAGGCAUCCCAAGGUUAUUCCAGCAAAGUUCUAAUGUUUUUACUGUAGCACUUUUCCAUACGCUAGCUUGACUACUCAAAUCAUCUAUGAAUGGACUCAACGCAACCAUCACUCAUUGCUAAAUCCAGAAAAGAGUAAAGAUUUGAAGAUGUAGUACAGUAUUAUCCCUGUUGGAGCGUCACAGUUACACAUUCCUGAGUUCUGGGGCAGUAAACAGACUCAUGUCUCAACAUCCCGCUGUUUAAUUGGACAUAGAGUGUAGUUAGAAACAGGGCUAAAGGUUAUAUGCAUAUAAUAGCCUCUUUAACAGUUGUGUAUGGUUUUACAAUGACCAGGUCAAAGGGUUGUAUAGGUUCUUAAAAAAUGCCAUUACCAUCUCUAUUACAUUAGGGCUACCCACUUGAAUGUGUGUUCUUAGGGGCGGCUAUAAGGUAGAGCAGGUGAUGAGCUGUGGCCCAGAGGCAGAGCGGGCCGUCCCCUAAUUGGAAGAUUGUUGGUUGGAAGGUCCCCGGCACCUCCUGCCACGUGUCCAAGUAUCCUUGAGCAAGAUACUGAACCCUAAUUGCUCCCGAUGCUGUGCAUCGGUGUGUGAAUGUGUAUGAAUGAGUUAGUUUCUGUUCGAUGGACUUUGCUGAGUGAAUGUGUGUGAAAGGGUGAAUGUGGCACGUACUGUAAAAGCGCUUUGAGUGGUCGGAAGACUAGAAAGGUGCUAUACAAGUACAGGUCCAUUUACCAUUUACCAUCAACUAAUAGAAAGAUUGGGGAUUCGAUCCCCGGCUCCUCCCCUGCUGUGUGUCUAAGGGUCCUAGAGCAAGAUACUGUACCCCAAAUUACUCCUGAUGCUGUGUCAUCGGUGUGUAAAUGUGGAUGAAUGAAUGAGUUAAGUUUCUUUUUGAUGGGCUUUGCUAUCACUGUGUGAAUGGGUGAAUGUGGCAGGUAGUAAAAGUGCUUUGACUGGUCGGAAGACUAGAAAGGUGGUAUACAGGUACAGUCCAUUUACUAUUUACAGGCAGAAAGAGCAAAAAGGGAGGUUGAAUAAAGACAGGGAGCGGCGUUAGCAACAACAAAGCAACAAAUCAAAUAAUUCAAAUGUUAUUUUCUGAUUGUUUCAUGGCAGUUCUAAAGCACAAAUUCCUGCUCACAUCAAACUUGUUGUGUAGUCAGAUUGCUGUGUAUGUGACUUCACUUGCCAGCUUUCAUUCUCACAGUCACAGAUGACAUUUCCUGCUUGCAGGAGGAACUCAAGAAAAAGAAUUAACUUAUUCUGAGUUUAACAUCUGUUGCCACGGCCCAGGCCCAACAAAAAUCAGCCUUAGGUAUAUCCAGGUAUCCAGUAUCCGGGAUGAUUGGCAAAUGUUGCUCUGAUAUCACUCUUCCAUGGACAAAUUCUACCUGUAUUUCUGACAGUUUUAUGUGAGGAACUUUCCUCAAUUAUACUUGGAACUAAGCCCAAGUCGCAAGCUUGUUUCAGACCAGAGCCACGGAUCUUGGUCAAGAAAAAAAACCUGUUGGGAAAAUGUUUCCCAAGCUGCAGAGGUCUUGGAUUAAUCCACAUGAAUGUGAGAAGCUUAAUACCAAAGAUGGACUCCAUUAGAAUCCAGGCCCAACAACCCAAUCCAAACAUUUAAAUUAUAACAGAAACCUGGUUGACUGAUAAAAUUAAGGAUGGUGUCAGUGCAGUUUAUGGUUGCAAUCAUUGACAGGGCUACCUCUACCCCAGGCCCCUCUACCCCAGGUUUUUCAUUGCCACAUUUUUUACAACUGUGUAUUAUGAUGUUUUUCUUUGUUUUUCUGUUUUUCAGUGUUCUUGACGGUGCCUCGUGUAAUACACCCAAUUUGUUUUCUUUUUUACGAUUAACCACUCAACAAUGAGUCAGUGUAUUAUUAUGUAAAUUAUGUAUUAUAAGUUGUCUUAUUCACAUUUCUCUGAUUUGCAUGCUAUAGUACCCAUAACAAGCUACUUAAAAACACGUUAUUACACCUCUGAUUGCAAAUACAUUUUCAAUUAACCACAAAUAGGUAGUGGGUAUUUUACUGUAUUUACUAACAAUGAAGCACUGAUAUGCAAAAAAACCCCAAAAAAACCUUAAAGUGCCCUGGCUCAAGAUAGUCCACAAAGUGGAGCCCAAGGUAGAUAUGUAGCAUUUAACUUAAAUGUUGUGCAGGUAAAACAAACAGCACAUGAAAUACUUUGUUGUAAAAUAAAUAUUGAAAACAACAACAAGCCUCAUCUAAUCUCAAUUUAGGUUUAAAUUGGUUUGUUUGUUCACAGCUUAACUAGCUUGCAUGGUGCAAUAUCCCUGUCAGUCUGAUCAGAAAGCCCAACGCCUGGCCUUUUUGUUGGCAAAUUCCCUGAAGACCUCUUUGAAAUCCAACUGUCGGCUUAGCUUUCAAUUGAAAGUCUAGCAAAG